rnacentral:rRNA from 1 species
ACGAGCGCAACCCACGUUUUUAGUUGCCAGCAUUCAGUUGGGCACUCUANAAAGACUGCCGGUGACAAACCGGAGGAAGGUGUGGACGACGUCAAGUCAUCAUGCCCCUUACGCCUUGGGCUACACACGUACUACAAUGCUGCGGACAAAGAGUAGCGAUCUUGCGAAAGUUAGCUAAUCUCGUAAACCGUGGCUCANUUCAGAUCGUAGGCUGCAACUCGCCUACNUGAAGGAGGAAUCGCUAGUAAUCGCAGGUCAGCAUACUGCGGUGAAUACGUUCCCGGGCCUUGUACACACCGCCCGU